CGCCUUGCCAGCCCGCUCAGAAACUCAAAGGAAGUUGACGGGGCCCGCACAAGCGGAGGAGCAUGUGGUUUAAUUCGAUGAUACGCGAGGAACCUUACCUGGGCUCGAACGUAAGAUGACUGUAGGUGAAAGCUUACAUCUCUUCGGAGCAUUUUACGAGGUGCUGCAUGGUUGUCGUCAGCUCGUGCCGUGAGGUGUCGGGUUAAGUCCCAUAACGAGCGCAACCCCUACCUUUAGUUGCCAUCAGGUAAUGCUGGGGACUCUAAAGGAACUGCCUACGCAAGUAGUGAGGAAGGCGGGGAUGACGUCAAAUCAGCACGGCCCUUACGUCCAGGGCUACACACGUGCUACAAUGGCCGAUACAGAGGGCAGCUACCUGGUGACAGGACGUAAAUCUCCAAAGUCGGUCUCAGUUCGGAUCGGAGUCUGCAACCCGACUCCGUGAAGUUGGAUUCGCUAGUAAUCGCGCAUCAGCCAUGGCGCGGUGAAUACGUUCCCGGGCCUU
rnacentral:rRNA from 1 species